AUUGAACGCUGGCGGCAGGCCUAACACAUGCAAGUCGAGCGGAUGAAGAGAGCUUGCUCUCUGAUUUAGCGGCGGACGGGUGAGUAACGCCUAGGAAUCUGCCUGGUAGUGGGGGAUAACGUUCCGAAAGGAACGCUAAUACCGCGUACGUCCUACGGGGGAAAGCAGGGGACCUUCGGGCCUUGCGCUAUCAGAUGAGCCUAGGUCGGAUUAGCUAGUUGGUGAGGUAAUGGCUCACCAAGGCGACGAUCCGUAACUGGUCGGAGAGGAUGACCAGUCACACUGGAAAUGAGAAACGGUCCAGACUCCUACGGGAGGCAGCAGUGGGGAAUAUUGGACAAUGGGCGAAAGCCUGAUCCAGCCAUGCCGCGUGUGUGAAGAAGGUCUUCGGAUUGUAAAGCACUUUAAGUUGGGAGGAAGGGCAGUAAGUUAAUACCUUGCUGUUUUGACGUUACCGACAGAAUAAGCACCGGCUAACUUCGUGCCAGCCGCCGCAGUAACAC
rnacentral:rRNA from 1 species